AAGAAAUGAAGAAUGAAAGAAUCCAGAGUGCCAAGAGUUCUGUGAGAGGGUGCUGCACCUGUUUCUUCAUCUAUGGAAGGGAGAUGUUACCUACCUUCCAGAGUUUAUUUGAGGAUUAAGUGAGAUUUGCAACUGAGGAGCUGGUACAGUGCUCGGUGGUCCUGGCCAUGGAAGUUGGUACUAGAUGCUGGGGAAGCAGGAAUACAGAUGCAUGGUUCAUCCUCCAAAAGAGAAGACAGGCUG